CAUGGGACAUUUCAUUGCCAGUGGGGCACCCCAUGGGACGUCCCAUUCUAGUGAGCAUGUAUAACGGCUAGUUUUCAACUCAUUUUUAGUAUAUUUAAUGCGCAUUAAACACUCUCCAAUGGCUCUUAACUGAUACUAAGAUAUUUUCAAGUAUAAAUAGUGAUUAUAAAUACUCUCUUGAAGUAGAAAAUCAUAAGUUUUCAAGCAUUCAAAGCUCACAUCCAUGGAAGUUCAAAAAAUCUCUAAA
rnacentral:lncRNA from 1 species